GGCGCUGUCAUCUAACGGUUAGGAUACUGCCCUCUCAAGGCAGGUAUACGGGUUCGAUUCCCGUCAGCGCUACCA
rnacentral:tRNA from 1 species